rnacentral:lncRNA from 1 species
GGGGUUGCUACAGACUUUUGAGAAAGAUCACUAGCUCCACAAAGAGACAGUGAAUCUAGUGGGAGGAUCUUCUUCGGGUAAUCAUCAUCCUUUUAUGAAAGAAAAAAAAAGAAGAAUAAGAAGAUGCCUGGUGCUGGGAGUCAGUCCCAGAAACUCAAGUUCAUGGCUGAUCAAAGUCAGGUAGAGUGCUUCUUUUGCAAGAAGCAGGUUCAAUGGAAGAGGUCCUCAGUAUCACUUCUCUUGACCUGA